AUCCAGUUGACGGGUCCCAAAUAGGAUGGAGCAUGCGUCCUGGAU
rnacentral:hammerhead_ribozyme from 1 species